GCCAGGCAUAGUGCUGCAUGCUUGUAAUUCUAGCAACUCAGGAGGCUGAAGCAGGAGGAUUGCAAGUUUGAGGUCAGCCUUGGCAACUAGUGAGACCCUGUCUCAA
rnacentral:sRNA from 1 species